rnacentral:rRNA from 1 species
AACGAACGCUGGCGGCAGGCUUAACACAUACAAGUCGAGCGCCCCGCAAGGGGAGCGGCAGACGGGUGAGUAACGCGUGGGAAUCUACCCAUCUCUACGGAAUAACGCAUGGAAACGUGUGCUAGUACCGUAUACGUCCUUCGGGAGAAAGAUUUAUCGGAGAUGGAUGAGCCCGCGUUGGAUUAGCUAGUUGGUGGGGUAAAGGCCUACCAAGGCGACGAUCCAUAGCUGGUCUGAGAGGAUGAUCAGCCACACUGGGACUGAGACACGGCCCAGACUCCUACGGGAGGCAGCAGUGGGGAAUAUUGGACAAUGGGCGCAAGCCUGAUCCAGCCAUGCCGCGUGGGUGAUGAAGGCCCUAGGGUUGUAAAGCUCUUUCACCGGUGAAGAUAAUGACGGUAACCGGAGAAGAAGCCCCGGCUAACUUCGUGCCAGCCGCCGCCGUAAUAC